UACGGGGGGAGCAAGCGUUGUUCGGAUUUACUGGGCGUAAAGGGCGCGUAGGCGGUCAGUGCAAGUCAGUUGUGAAAUCUCUGGGCUUAACCCAGAACGGUCAACUGAUACUGCUCGACUAGAGUACAGAAGGGGCAACUGGAAUUCUCGGUGUAGCGGUGAAAUGCGUAGAUAUCGAGAGGAACACCUGCGGCGAAGGCGGGUUGCUGGGCUGAUACUGACGCUGAGGCGCGAAGGCCAGGGGAGCAAACGGG
rnacentral:rRNA from 1 species